rnacentral:rRNA from 1 species
UACGGGGGGAGCAAGCGUUGUUCGGAUUUACUGGGCGUAAAGGGCGCGUAGGCGGCCAGCACAAGUCAGUUGUGAAAUCUCCGGGCUUAACUCGGAAAGGUCAACUGAUACUGUGCGGCUAGAGUGCAGAAGGGGCAACUGGAAUUCUCGGUGUAGCGGUGAAAUGCGUAGAUAUCGAGAGGAACACCUGCGGCGAAGGCGGGUUGCUGGGCUGACACUGACGCUGAUGCGCGAAAGCCAGGGGAGCGAACGGG